GACACACAAACCUUAGUAAAAAAAUACUCAAUUCGCAUUGGAGAAGGGGUUGAUCAAUCACAAGCUCGCGGGAUCAGGUACUUCGCGCACAAAAUUAAACAUGGCAGUUUCUAAAGCUUCUCACUUCACUUAUAAGUAGACAGCGGCAUCAGCAACGACAGUUGUUGGCAGGGACUUCUUCUCUUCUCUGUUUUCCCUCUUCCCUAUCUCCUUUCUUCUCCUCAUUGAAACGACAACGACGAACUGACUAGGAGCAAUGUUGGGGUAUGCUUUUGUCGUAUCAUUUUCCUUUGAAGGCAAAAAUCAAUUCGUCAUACUGUUUUAGCAAUUAGCAUGAGUGGAAUUUGCCGCCUCAGGUGUAAAUUUAUGUGCAAAUCCCCGUUACUUAUGGGCAAAAUGGUUGCCAAAUCGUUUGCUUUAAAGCGAUCAAUAUCAACCUAUCCUCAUCUCUCUGAGAGACUUAAUCAAACAGAAAAUGAGAUAGUUAAAAUGUUCCGGUUGCCCCGUGCUUCUGGAGAAGUGCAAAACUUUCCCAUGAGUAGGAAUAUGUCAAGGAAGGAUCCUUCAGUUAGGAUGUUGGAUGAGAGGUUCACAAAGAUUUUGAAAAUUUUCAAAUGGGGACCUGAUGCAGAAAAGGCCCUAGAAGUGCUGAAGUUGAGAGUGGAUCAUCGAUUGGUUCUCGCGGUUCUCAAGAUUGAUGUUGAAGUCAAUGUUAAGAUUCAGUUUUUCAAGUGGGCUGGGAAGAGAAGGAAUUUCGAACACGAUUCAACCACAUACAUGGCGGUGAUCCGUUGCUUGGAUGAGGCUGGUGUUGUUGGUGAAAUGUGGAAAACCAUCCAAGAAAUGGUUCGGAGUACAUGUGUUAUUGAGCCAGCUGAAUUAUCUGAAAUCAUAAGAAUCUUAGGCAGGGCUAAGAUGGUAAACAAGGCACUAUCUGUCUUCUACCAGAUCAAAGGCCACAAGUGCAAACCAACAGCAAACACUUACAACUCCAUGAUCUUAAUGCUGAUGCAAGAAGGUCAUCAUGACAAGGUCCAUGAGCUCUAUAAUGAGAUGUGUAAUGAGGUUAACUGUCUCCCAGACACAGUUACAUAUAGUGCACUAAUAUCGGCAUUUGGGAAAUUGGGUCGUGAUGAUUCUGCCAUUAGGUUGUUUGAUGAAAUGAAGGAUAAUGGUUUGCAUCCAACUGCAAAGAUUUAUACUACCCUGUUGGCAAUCUUUUUCAAGUUGGGAAAAGUUGAGAAAGCUUUAAGCCUGGCCCAGGAGAUGAGAGAGAAGGGGUGUCCGCCUACUGUGUUUACCUACACUGAAUUGAUAAAGGGCCUUGGCAAAGCUGGUAGGGUUGAAGAUGCUUGUGUUAUAUACAAAAACCUUCUGAGGGAGGGUUGUAAGCCUGAUGUCGUGCUCAUUAACAAUUUGAUAAACAUUUUGGGAAAGGAAGGUCGUAUAGAAGAUGCAAUUAAGCUUUUCAACGAGAUGGUUUCUUUGCGUUGCACACCUAAUGUGGUGACAUACAACACUAUAAUUAAAGCUUUAUUUGAAUCCAAAGCUCCAACUUCUGAUGCUGCUUCAUGGUUUGAGAAGAUGAAAGUUAAUGGCAUUGUUCCCAGCUCAUUUACCUAUUCAAUUCUUAUUGAUGGUUUUUGCAAAACAAAUAGAGUUGAGAAAGCUCUGUUGCUUCUUGAGGAGAUGGAUGAAAAGGGGUUUCCUCCUUGUCCAGCUGCCUAUUGCAGCCUGAUCAACAGUCUUGGAAAAGCAAAGCGGUAUGAAGCUGCAAAUGAGUUAUUUCAAGAAUUGAAAGAGAACUGUGGGCGUUCAAGUGCUAGGGUAUAUGCUGUGAUGAUUAAACAUUUUGGGAAAUGCGGGCGUCUCGAUGAAGCUUUGGAUCUUUUUAAUGAGAUGAAGAAACUCGGAUGCACUCCAGAUGUGUAUGCUUAUAAUGCGCUCAUGUCAGGGAUGGUGAGGGCUGGCAUGAUAGAUGAAGCGCAUUCCUUGCUUAAAGUAAUGGAAGAAAAUGGUUGCAUUCCAGACCUAAACUCACAAAAUAUCAUUUUAAAUGGCUUGGCCAGGACAGGUGGACCAAAUCGGGCUUUGGAAAUGUUUUCCAAGAUGAAGCAUUCUAAGAUUCAACCAGAUGCAGUUUCUUAUAACACUGUUCUUGGUUGUCUCAGCCGAGCUGGUAUGCUUGAGGAGGCUGCAAAGCUGAUGAAAGAGAUGGAUUCAAAAGGUUUUCAAUAUGAUCUCAUCACUUACUCAUCAAUACUUGAGGCGGUUGGCAAGGUUGAUGAUGUUCGCAAGACUUCCUCAGAGGGAUAUGGUAUGAGAUAGUUUCUCUUCUUUUACUUACACUACAUACCCAGGGUUAAGGACUGUUUCUGAUUAAGAUGAUUGAAGACCUGCUAAUAAGAAGAAAAACAAAAAAUGAACUUGUGAAGGUUAUACGCCCUGUUAAGCGCUAGCGGCUCAGCCAUAUAUCCUACAAAUUUCUAGUAUCUUCCAGUUGGAAUUUGCUGGAAGAAAAGAAAAACACUAAUAACGACUUAUCAUUAUAAAGACAGUGGAUUGUAGAAAACCCAAUUCAAAUGUUACCUUUGUAAAUACGAUUUGAAUGAGGGUUGCUCUUCGGCUACACAAUCCGCACUGCUCAUGUAUUGUAACUUAAGCAGUAGAUGGACAAAUUCAGUGCUGAAAUGCAGUAGCUGUUAAUUGUAGUAAUAUGAAAGAAUGUUAUGAACUCAUGUUCAUUCACCGCCUAUAUUUGUAAGGCAUAAUUGAUCCUGACGCGUUUCAUUGUACCCAAUUGGAAAUUUGAUUAUCAGUGACUUAUAACUAUACA